GGUGAACCUGCAGAAGGAUCAUUU
rnacentral:rRNA from 1 species